UACGUAGGGGGCAAGCGUUGUCCGGAUUUAUUGGGCGUAAAGAGCGUGUAGGCGGCCAAGCAGGUCCGCUGUGAAAACUCGAGGCUCAACCUCGAGAGGUCGGUGGAAACCGUUUGGCUAGAGUCCGGAAGAGGAGAGUGGAAUUCCCGGUGUAGCGGUGAAAUGCGCAGAUAUCGGGAGGAACACCGGUGGCGAAGGCGGUUCUCUGGGCCUUACCUGACACUGAGGAGCGAAAGCGUGGGGAGCGAACAGG
rnacentral:rRNA from 1 species